GAUGAACGCUAGCGGGAGGCCUAACACAUGCAAGCCGAGCGGUAGAGUUUCUUCGGAAACUUGAGAGCGGCGCACGGGUGCGUAACACGUGUGCAACCUACCUUUAUCUGGGGGAUAGCCUUUCGAAAGGAAGAUUAAUACCCCAUAAUAUAAUGAUUGGCAUCAAUUAUUAUUGAAAACUCCGGUGGAUAGAGAUGGGCACGCGCAAGAUUAGAUAGUUGGUGAGGUAACGGCUCACCAAGUCAAUGAUCUUUAGGGGUCCUGAGAGGGAGAUCCCCCACACUGGGACUGAGACACGGACCAGACUCCUACGGGAGGCAGCAGUGAGGAAUAUUGGACAAUGGGUGAGAGCCUGAUCCAGCCAUCCCGCGUGAAGGAUGACGGUCCUAUGGAUUGUAAACUUCUUUUGUACAGGGAUAAACCUACCCUCGUGAGGGUAGCUGAAGGUACUGUACGAAUAAGCACCGGCUAACUCCGUG
rnacentral:rRNA from 1 species